rnacentral:rRNA from 1 species
GACGAACGCUGGCGGCGUGCUUAACACAUGCAAGUCGAACGGUGAAGCGCUUUCUUUUUUGGUGGGUGUGGAUGAGAGGCGAACGGGUGAGUAACACGUGAGUAACCUGCCCCUUUCUUCUGGUUCACCGCAUGAAAGCGUGGCUAAUACGGGAUAUCCUGGGUCUGUCGCAUGAUGGGUCUGGGUAAGCUAUUGUUUCGGUGGGGGCUGCGCUUGCGGCCUUUCAGCUUGUUGGUGGGGAUAUGGCCUAUCAAGGCGGUUCCGGUUAGCCGGCCUUCGAGGGUGGACGGUCAGACUGGGACUGAGGCACGGCUGAGACUGCUACAGGGGCCAGCAGUGUGGGAUAUUGCACAGUGGGCACAAGCCUGAUGCAGCGGCGACGCGUGUGGGGUGAAGGCCUGCGGGGUGUGAACCUCUUUCGGCAGUGAAGCGGGCCUGCCUCGUUUGAGGGGGGAGUGACGGUAGCUGGAAAAGAAGCGCCGGCUAACUACGUG